rnacentral:rRNA from 1 species
UACGUAGGAGGCAAACGUUAUUCGGAUUUACUGGGCGUAAAGCGGGUGUAGACGGCUUUUUAAGUCGGUUGUGAAAUCUCUUGACUUAAUUGAGAGAGGACAUUCGAUACUACUGAGCUUGAGGACAGCAGAAGAAAGCGGAACUCCCGGUGUAGCGGUGAAAUGCGUAGAUAUCGGGAGGAACACCAGUGGCGAAGGCGGCUUUCUAGGCUGUUCCUGACGUUGAGGCCCAAAAGCGUGGGGAGCGAAACGG